rnacentral:rRNA from 1 species
UACGGAGGGCGCAAGCGUUGUUCGGAAUCAUUGGGCGUAAAGCGCGUGUAGGCGGUCUGGUCAGUCGGGUGUGAAGUACCGGAGCUCAACUCCGGAACUGCAUUCGAUACUGCCAGACUAGAGUCCCGGAGAGGGUGGUGGAAUUCCCGGUGUAGAGGUGAAAUUCGUAGAUAUCGGGAGGAACACCAGCGGCGAAGGCGGCCACCUGGACGGUGACUGACGCUGAGGCGCGAAAGCGUGGGGAGCAAACAGG